GCGGCCACCAGGAUGUGCCCCAGGCCCAGUAGCCGCCGCGCCCGCGCCCCUCGCCCCAGUACGUCUUUUUUCAUUUCCUAAAUUUCUUAUUUUUGUCCUUGCAAGUGGCCCUGUCUGACGUGAAGCGUCAGCACGGAUGGCCUCCUGGAGCUUCCCCGAGUCUUUCGCUGGGGGAAUCGGGCGGUGAGCGGCCGGCCUGCGGCACUCCGCGGGCCUCAAGCUCCUGGUAGGGCUGGUGGCGGGGGUCCGCCUGGGGGAGGAAUCCCCGCCUGCUCCAUCGGACCCGGCCUGGUGCGGCUCGCGGCGCUCGGCGGGCUGCCUUCCAUUCUAGAAUCUUCCCGCUUGCUUCCCAGCCCGCGUUCUCCCGCCCGCCUUUAAUUGUGUGUGGACCUGGGGAGGAUCUUCUAAGUCCCUCCAGCGAAGGCAAGUGUGAGACUCUGGUCCUUUAUUUGUAAGAAGCAAGCCUUCAGACUGCAGAAGUAUCGCGCGGGUCGCCGUGCGUUGCGCGAGUGGGAAGAUGGAGGAGGCUGGCACGGUGCUUUCGUGGACGCAAGUGAACCGGGCGUGAAGGCAGGGUGCAAGCUCUGCCCUUGGCCCAGCCCGGCGUGGGCGCCGUCCCAGAUUCCGGGCGGUGCGGGGUGCAGAGAUCUGGAGAGAGUUGCGGCUCCCCAGCGCAGGCUGCUCUGGGAUUUCGUUGGAAGAUCCGGCAGAGCCUUGGAGGAGAGGGCCGGAGAGGCUGUGUGUGUAGCGGAAGCUUGUACGAAUGCCCCCACAGCUGAAAUGGUGCGCACGAGUAAUGUCUGCGGCGCACCCUUUUAAACAUUGACUGAAGUGAACAAGAUCAAUUUUUUAAAAAAGCAAAGGUAGAAAAUAAAAGGCGUGCGACUUCUUGACUGGCUUGUUCCCGCCUUUCUUCCUUCCCUAUACUCAGAUCAGAAACUUUUCUUUAAUUGCUCUUAUUCAGUGCGACAACUUUUAAUAAAAGUAUUUGCAUCUUAA